rnacentral:rRNA from 1 species
AGAGUUUGAUCAUGGCUCAGAGCGAACGCUGGCGGCGUGCUUAACACAUGCAAGUCGAGUGCGCAGUCUGCUGUAGCAAUACAGCAGGCCGGCGCACGGCGCACGGGUGCGUAACACGUGGGUAACCUGCCCUGCAAUGGGGGAUAACCCGCCGAAAGGCGGGCUAAUACCGCAUGACAUUCCGGUGGCUUCGGACGCCGGAAUCAAAGCCCGCAAGGGCGUUGGAGGAGGGGCCCGCGGCCGAUUAGCUAGUUGGUGAGGUAACGGCUCACCAAGGCUGUGAUCGGUAGCCGGUCUGAGAGGAUGGCCGGCCACACUGGAACUGAGACACGGUCCAGACUCCUACGGGAGGCAGCAGUGGGGAAUCUUGCGCAAUGGGCGAAAGCCUGACGCAGCGACGCCGCGUGGGGGAUGAAGCUUCUCGGAGUGUAAACCCCUUUCGACCCGGACGAAACGCCCGCAAGGGCUUGACGGUACGGGUAUAAGAAGCCCCGGCUAACUACGUGCCAGCAGCCGCGGUAAGACGUAGGGGGCCAGCGUUGCUCGGAAUUACUGGGCGUAAAGGGUUCGUAGGCGGUGCGGUAAGUCGGAAGUGAAAUCUCUGGG